UGUCCUGUGGAGGCACAAAGGCACCAUGAAGAAAAGUGUCCUGAGAAAUGCUGCACACCAGCUCCAGGCACAGCACAGGGUCCUUUGCAGCUUCCCUCACCUGGAAUGCUUGCUAGGAGUCCCUCUAUGGGUGGCUGGUGGCAGCAAAUUUUAGCCCAUCUGGGAGCCUGCAGAACCCCUGAAGUCAAGGGCAAGUUCUGCAUGGUGUCUGUCCCACUGGAACUGACUUUUCUUUGAAGACAGGUAGGAUUCUCCUGUCAAAGAUUCACGUCAGCUCCCUCUGAGCCAUGAAUCACCCAUCAGUAGCCCAUGAGUAAGCAGGGGAAAUGCCCAAGAGUUAAUUUGAACACUUAGAAAACAGUGGCAUGUUUUUCAGAGUGUGUUUAUUUUUCCUCAGCAAAUCUAACUUCCUUCGUGGUUGAGGUUAAAAUAAGCCAAACCUGAUGCCAGUCCUAUUGGCUGGCGCAGACUUCAUGGUAUUGGGACUCCAGGAGGAAGAAGGCCUAGAACAUUGAUGUUGCCGGUAAGGUCUCAGGACCCUGAGGUCCCCUUUUCUCCAGCUGGAGGAAGAGGAGCUAGCCUGCAAGUGAAAAAGAAGUGAGAAGAGAGAAAAUUAGAAAUGCAGAAACCUGUGUCAGCACUCUCAGAUGAGGCCGGUGGCUGCCACGAUGACUCAAAAUCAGAAUAUGUGCUCCGGCUGCUGAAAUCUUGAAAGUCAGGAAGGUCUUGGGGAAUCUCUAGCGGAAGGAGGUUUAGUUGAGGUUCACUUCCCAGGGGACCCUGGGUCGGCAGCACAGCUUGUCCCCCGUGGGGAUUAUAGGGCCCUUUGGUUAGAAGCCACCCUUUCCCUGCUGCACUCACUCUGAGAUUUCCUCAUUUCAAAUGACCCUGAGCGGUCCUGAGAUCGAGCCCUGCAUCAGGCUCCCUGCUCAGAGGGAAGUCUGUUGCUUCCUCUCCCUCUGUGUGCUCUCUCUCUCUCUCUC